GCCAAGCAUGGUGGCGCAGGCCUGUAGUCCCAGCUACUGGGGAGGCUGAGGUAGGAGGAUUGCUUGGGCUGGGGAGGUCAAGGCUGCAGUGAGCUGUGAUAGCCCCACUGCACUCCAGCCUCAGUGACAAAGUGAGACCUUGUCUCUU
rnacentral:SRP_RNA from 1 species